CUGUGGAGAAGCUCGGUCGAAGUCUAUCUUAAUAGAAGUUUGAAAGAAAUUUAUUUAUAGUAGAGGCUCGAAUGAAAUUCGCUUACAGUAGAUAUCCAGAGUAGACCGUCCGUAGUGGGAGUUCGGCUCUCACAGGAGCUCGGUUGGAAUUCGGAAGGCGGUCGAUCGCCGUAGAAACUUGGAUGUAGUCUGGUUACCGUAGAAAUCUCAUUGUCGGAGGAGCUCGGAUAUU
rnacentral:lncRNA from 1 species